GAUGAACGCUGGCGGCGUGCCUAAUACAUGCAAGUCGAGCGAACGGACGAGAAGCUUGCUUCUCUGAUGUUAGCGGCGGACGGGUGAGUAACACGUGGAUAACCUACCUAUAAGACUGGGAUAACUUCGGGGAACCGGAGCUAAUACCGGAUAAUAUUUUGAACCGCAUGGUUCAAAAGUGAAAGACGGUCUUGCUGUCACUUAUAGAUGGAUCCGCGCUUCAUUAGCUAGUUGGUAAGGUAACGGCUUACCAAGGCACCGAUGCAUAGCCGACCUGAGAGGGUGAUCGGCCACACUGGAACUGAGACGCGGUCCAGACUCCUACGGGGGGCAGCAGUAGGGAAUCUUCCGCAAUGGGCUAAAGCCUGACGGAGCAACGCCGCGUGAGUGAUGAAGGUCUUCGGAUCGGAAAACUCUGUUAUUAGGGAAGAACAUAUGUGUAAGUAACUGUGCACAUCUUGACGGUACCUAAUCAGAAAGCCACGGCUAACUACGUG
rnacentral:rRNA from 1 species